GGGCAUUUGGUCUAGUGGUAUGAUUCUCGCUUUUGGUGUGAGAGGUCUCAAGUUCAAAUUUCGGAAAGCCCC
rfam:Hordeum vulgare subsp. vulgare, WGS project CAJW01000000 data, contig: morex_contig_442461